AACGAACGCUGGCGGCGCGUCUUAAGCAUGCAAGUCGGGCGGCAGCCCAGCGCCUAAUUAUUUUUUUUCGCAGUGGGGGCGAGGGGGGAUAAUUAGGCGCUGGGCGAGAGCGGCGGACUGGUGAGUAACGCGUGGGCGACCUGCCCUGGGGAUGGGGACAGCCGCUGGAAACAGCGGGUAAUACCGAAUACGCUUGGACGGCCGGAGCCGUUUAAGGAAAGGGGCUACGGCCCCGCCCGAGGAUGGGCCCGCGUCCCAUUAGCUUGUCGGCAGGGUAACGGCCUACCGAGGCGAAGAUGGGUAGCCGGCCUGAGAGGGCGAACGGCCACACUGGGACUGAGAUACGGCCCAGACUCCUACGGGAGGCAGCAGCUAAGAAUAUUCCGCAAUGGGCGGAAGCCUGACGGAGCGACGCCGCGUGCAUGACGAAGGCCGGAAGGUUGUAAAGUGCUUUUGCGGGCGAAGAAUAAGGCGCGGAGGGAAUGCCGCGCCGGUGACGCCGGCCCGCGAAUAAGCCCCGGCUAAUUACGUGCCAGCAGCCGCGGUAACACGUAAGGGGCGAGCGUUGUUCGGAAUUAUUGGGCGUAAAGGGCGCGUAGGCGGUUAAUCAAGUCCGGUGUGAAAUGCCGGGGCUCAACCCCGGAGCUGCAUUGGAAACUGGUAAACUUGAGUCACGGAGGGGGAGCUGGAAUUCCUGGUGUAGGGGUGAAAUCUGUAGAUAUCAGGAAGAACACCGGUGGCGAAGGCGAGCUUCCAGCCGGUGACUGACGCUGAGGCGCGAAAGCGCGGGGAGCGAACAGGAUUAGAUACCCUGGUAGUCCGCGCCGUAAACGAUGUGCACUAGGUGUCUGGCCGAGCGGCUAGGUGCCGGAGCGAACGCGAUAAGUGCACCGCCUGGGGAGUAUGCCCGCAAGGGUGAAACUCAAAGGAAUUGACGGGGGCCCGCACAAGCGGUGGAGCAUGUGGUUUAAUUCGAUGGUACGCGAGGAACCUUACCUGGGUUUGACAUGCAGGGGGAGGGCGCGGAGACGCGCCCGCGCGGCAACGCGCCCCUGUGCAGGUGCUGCAUGGCUGUCGUCAGCUCGUGCCGUGAGGUGUUGGGUUAAGUCCCGCAACGAGCGCAACCCCUACCGCCAGUUGCCAGCAGGAGAGCUGGGGACUCUGGCGGAACUGCCGGCGACAAGCCGGAGGAAGGCGGGGAUGACGUCAAGUCAUCAUGGCCCUUAUGUCCAGGGCUACACACGUGCUACAAUGGGCGGCACAAAGCGAGGCGAGCCUGAGAGGGCGGAGCGAAGCGCAGAAAGCCGCCCGUAGUUCGGAUUGAAGUCUGAAACCCGACUUCAUGAAGCUGGAAUCGCUAGUAAUCGCGCAUCAGCAUGGCGCGGUGAAUACGUUCCCGGGC
rnacentral:rRNA from 1 species